rnacentral:rRNA from 1 species
AGUGGCAGACGGGUGAGUAAAAAAUAGGUAACCUCCCUCCGAGAUGGGGAUAACCUUCCGAAAGGAGGGCUAAUACCGAAUGAGACCACGGUUGCUUUGGCAACUGAGGUUAAAGAUGGCCUCUACUUGUAAGCUAUCGCUUGGAGAUGGGCUUAUGCACCAUCAGCUAGUUGGUAGGGUAACGGCCUACCAAGGCUAUGACGGUUAGCUGAUCUGAGAGGUUGAUCAGCCACACUGGAACUGAGACACGGUCCAGACUCCUACGGGAGGCAGCAGUAGGGAAUAUUGCGCAAUGGAGGAAACUCUGACGCAGCGACGCCGCGUGGGUGAUGAAGGUCUUCGGAUCGUAAAGCCCUGUCGAAAGGGAAGAAAAACGAUGUGGCUAAUAUCCAUAUCGCUUGACGGUACCUUUAGAGGAAGCACCGGCUAACUACGUGCCAGCAGCCGCGGUAAUACGUAGGGUGCUAGCGUUGUUCGGAAUCAUUGGGCGUAAAGCGCGUGUAGGCGGUUAGUUAAGUCAGAUGUGAAAUCCCUGGGCUCAACCGAGGAAGUGCAUUUGA